CAGGAUGCCAGGCGGGAGGGGGGUCGCCCAGACCUGAGCUGGAGAGGACUCGGCCCCCAGAACACCCUCGUCACCCUUGUCCACCGGGAGGAGACCAGAAGCUGUCAGCAGAGAGGCCCAGAAGCAGCAGCCCUAGGCUCACGGGACAUACAGACUGGCCCAUCUCUCUCCUAGUUGCAUUCUGGGCGCCUAGCGAGGCAGCGGCCACCCAGCAGACUCCGAAUGAGUCAGGGGGAAGCUAAUGAAGAACGGCUUGUAGGUGGGGAGCCGGAACCAGAAGCAGCCCCGCUUGGAGCCUGAAGUUCUACCUACCAUGCCUGUUUAGAGGGGGCUCCGAGCCCACGUGAUGGUGGAUUGGGGACGUUAGUUGGAAUCAUGUCGUUUCUUCCCAGCUGCUUUCAUUUGGGGGGUGGGGAAGGCGUGGCCAGAGCGGCCACCCAGUGACGGCCUCAUCAGUGCUUUCACAGUCAGUCCCUGCCAUGGUGUUAUUUGACCUCCACCUAAGACUUCCCAAGCUGAGGGGUGACAGAGAUCAAAGACAGCAAGCGACUUGGACAACGCCUGUCCCCCUGAGUCUGAGCUCUCCCCGGGCUCACACAAUGGGACGAGGGAAGUCGUCAAAGGGGUUUGGGCAUCUGCUACCCAAAACAAAGUCAAAUGUCCCAGGGGCACCACGUCUCUAAACGCCACCCAUAACUACGUACUGCGUUUCCGGAAGGGUGAACCGCAUUAUCGUGAUGUGUCAGAAGGAGUGCUUGAGAUGCGUCGCACCUGCCUCCACUUUCUCCCACAAUUCGGAUCGCUCUUUCAUUGAGCAACGCCUCGGAGCUGGCCGUUCUUGCUAUUGUCCACCUGGUCACUCGUCAACUUCCCUGAGGACCAGCGUGGGCCCACGGCCACUUCUUCUACCUUACCCUCAUUCCAGGGAAAACCACUAUAUUCAAGGUCAUUUGGGCUGAAGAAGUUGAAUGCGGGAUAAUAAUGAUA